rnacentral:rRNA from 1 species
ACUUAAAUUGAAGAGUUUGAUCAUGGCUCAGAUUGAACGCUGGCGGCAGGCCUAACACAUGCAAGUCGAGCGGUAACACAGAGAGCUUGCUCUCGGGUGACGAGCGGCGGACGGGUGAGUAAUGUCUGGGAAACUGCCUGAUGGAGGGGGAUAACUACUGGAAACGGUAGCUAAUACCGCAUAACGUCGCAAGACCAAAGUGGGGGACCUUCGGGCCUCAUGCCAUCAGAUGUGCCCAGAUGGGAUUAGCUAGUAGGUGGGGUAAUGGCUCACCUAGGCGACGAUCCCUAGCUGGUCUGAGAGGAUGACCAGCCACACUGGAACUGAGACACGGUCCAGACUCCUACGGGAGGCAGCAGUGGGGAAUAUUGCACAAUGGGCGCAAGCCUGAUGCAGCCAUGCCGCGUGUAUGAAGAAGGCCUUCGGGUUGUAAAGUACUUUCAGCGAGGAGGAAGGCGUUAAGGUUAAUAACCUUGGCGAUUGACGUUACUCGCAGAAGAAGCACCGGCUAACUCCGUGCCAGCAGCCGCGGUAAUACGGAGGGUGCAAGCGUUAAUCGGAAUUACUGGGCGUAAAGCGCACGCAGGCGGUCUGUCAAGUCGGAUGUGAAAUCCCCGGGCUCAACCUGGGAACUGCAUUCGAAACUGGCAGGCUAGAGUCUUGUAGAGGGGGGUAGAAUUCCAGGUGUAGCGGUGAAAUGCGUAGAGAUCUGGAGGAAUACCGGUGGCGAAGGCGGCCCCCUGGACAAAGACUGACGCUCAGGUGCGAAAGCGUGGGGAGCAAACAGGAUUAGAU